UUCCGGUUGAUCCCGCCGGACCCGACUGCUAUCGGGCUGGGACUAAGACAUGCAAGACGAGCGCGGUCGCCAUGCCCGACCGCGCGGCGGACGGCUCCGUAACACGUCCCCAACGGAACCUCGGGACUUGGAUAACCUCGGGAAACUGAGGUUAAUCCAAGAUAGGAGAAGGAUCCUGGAANGGGCCUUCUCCGAAAGGGAAGCCUAGGGCAAUGGCUAGGCUUCCGCCCGAGGACCGGGGGGCGGCCCAUCAGGUAGUAGGUGGGGUAACGGCCCACCUAGCCUAUGACGGGUACGGGCGCUGGGAGGCGGAGCCCGGAGAGGGGCACUGAGACAAGGGCCUCAACCCUAAGGGGUGCAGCAGUCGCGAAACCUCCGCAAUGCGCGAAAGCGUGACGGGGUCAGCCCGAGUGCCACCCGUGAGGGUGGCUGUGGCCGGCCGUAAAAAAGCCGGCUUAGAAAGCGGAGGGCAAGGCUGGUGCCAGCCGCCGCGGUAAAACCAGCUCCGCGAGUGGUCGGGACUUUUACUGGGCUUAAAGCGUCCGUAGGCGGCUCCGCGUGUCCGCGGCCAAAUCCCAAGGCUCAACCUUGGGAACGCUGCGGAUACUGCGGAACUAGGGACCGGGCGAGGGCGGGGGUACUCACCGGGUAGGGGCGAAAUCCAGAGAUCCGGUGAGGACCGGCGGUGGCGAAGGCGCCCGCCUGGAACGGCUCCGACGCUGAGGGACGAAAGCCGGGGGAGCGAAGGGGAUUAGAUACCCCCGUAGUCCCGGCUGUAAACGAUGCCCGCUAGGUGU
rnacentral:rRNA from 1 species